AUUGAACGCUGGCGGCAGGCUUAACACAUGCACGUCGAACGAGCGGCGGACGGGUGAGUAAUGUCUGGGAAACUGCCUGAUGGAGGGGGAUAACUACUGGAAACGGUAGCUAAUACCGCAUACCAUCAGAUGUGCCCAGAUGGGAUUGACUAGUAGGUGGGGUAAUGGCUCACCCAGGCGACGAUCCCUAGCUGGUCUGAGAGGAUGACCAGCCACACUGGAACUGUGACACGGUCCAGACUCCUCCGGGAGGCGGCAGUGGGGAAUAUUGCACAAUGGGCGAAAGCCUGAUGCAGCCAGGCCGCUUGUGUGAAGAAGGCCUUCGGGUUGUAAAGCACUUUCAGCGAGGAGGCGUUACUCGCAGAAGAAGCACCGGCUAACUCCGUGCCAGCAGCCGCGGUAAUUC
rnacentral:rRNA from 1 species